UACGUAGGGUGCAAGCGUUAAUCGGAAUUACUGGGCGUAAAGCGUGCGCAGGCGGUUAUGCAAGACAGAUGUGAAAUCCCCGGGCUCAACCUGGGAACUGCAUUUGUGACUGCAUGGCUAGAGUGCGGCAGAGGGGGAUGGAAUUCCGCGUGUAGCAGUGAAAUGCGUAGAUAUGCGGAGGAACACCGAUGGCGAAGCAAUCCCCUGGGCCUGCACUGACGCUCAUGCACGAAAGCGUGGGGAGCAAACAGG
rnacentral:rRNA from 1 species